CCUGCUCUGCGUUCCGAGCGCCGCCGCUGGGGCGGGCGGCUGUGCGAGCCCCUGCGAGGCGGGCCGCUGCGGGAGCUCGGGCCCCCGCUCCGGGUCUCGAGAUCUGGGGGAGAUGACGUGGAACUUGCGUGGGAAAGUCAGCGUGCCUUGACAGACGUCUUGGGAAGUGGGAGGACCUUGGGAGGGAGAUUCGUGCAGAGGCAGGGAAGGAGCUAAGGAGGCCGGGGCGCUGCCUGACUGAGUCCACGGGCAAAUCCAAGGUGGAAACGGGGCGAGAGGAGAGUUACCGAGCAGGAGGACGCGGCCUGGGGCCUCGGCGGAAGGGACUUUAACAGACUGAGCUCCGGAACCGCUCAUGACCCCUACGCUGCAAUGGCACCGCGCACCGGGUUUCAGAUGAAAGACUGCCAGGCGUGGUGGCCUUGCCUCUCGUUCCCGCACUUGGGAGGGCCUAGGCAGGAGGUCGUUUGAGACCAGCCUGGGCAACAGGGAGAGUAGAUACUAAAGUCUGGAAGAAAUAGGUUUGAAAGUUCGGAAUUAGGAUUUAUAUCCCUCACCUGCAUUUGAGAUCUAACAGUUGAUGAGAAACACACAAAAGUGCCUCACUGAAAGUGGACAGAAUAUUUGAAAACCUAAUUCACAUUUAAAAAAAUAUUGUGCCAUGAUCAAAACAGGUAAAAAGAUGUACAUUACAUAUUAAGAGAAACACACACAAUGCAGUUCUUGGUUUUGUGUGGAUAAAACUCAAUAUGCUUUUGGUAUUUGUGCUGAAAAGUGUGACGCGGUGGGUGAAACUACCAAAUACUCUGACCUUUUUAGAAAGUAAUCAGAAAGACUAUGAAGAUUGAAAAUGCACAGGCCUGGGCUGGGUGGAUCCUUGGCAGAGGGUGUGGAUGUGCAAGGCCCUGGGUUUUGUCCCCUGCACUAAUUAAGAUGCACAGACCCUUUGACUUUUAGACACCCUUCAGAAAUCAAGCCACCAGAACUGACAAUGUAGGUACAAAGACUUGUCUACAAACUCUUCUCAAAAGCCAAGCAUAGCCAUCAACUCAGUGUCCAUCAAGAGAGAAUGGGUGAUUGAAUCAAAAUGUAUCCAUACCAUGGAAGUGUAGAUGUUCCUAAUGAGAAAAAAAAUUUGUCCAUAAGUAACUAGAAAGUUAUCCAUGUUAUAUUUUGGAGAAAACAAAAAAGGAAGGUACAGAUGAAUGCCUGUGUGUAACUUAAUCUCUCAGUGUGAGUGACUAUGUGUUCCAUACAGGAGGACACCUGUGGCUGCACCCACCCUCGGUGCUGAGUGGCCUCAGGAAGGAAGGUUAGGAAUGCCAUAUCCAAACACUUGAAUGUUUAAAACAGAUGAAAACUGGUUUUAACAUAGUUUUUUAAAAUUAUAAGCAUAAUACAUACAUACUUGUGCCCUGAGGGAAGGACAUCAGGAAGCAUGGAGCAUCUGACAUACUCACUAUUACAGACUGAGUCCUGCCUUGUCUGAAAUGGUGUGUUGGAGUCUAACCCUCAGUAUCCCAAAUGUGCCCUUAUUUGGAGACAGGGUGAACAGAGGUAUCAAGAUGGAAUUAGGUCAUUAGGGUUGGCCCUAAUCCAGCAUGACUGGUGGUCUAUGAAAGACAGAUUUGACACAGAGACAUCACAUACAGAGAGAAGAUGGUGUGAAGAGACACAGGGAGAACAGGGCCCUGAGGAGCCUUGAGGUACAGGGUCAUGGAAGUGUAGCUGCUCCCUCUGGUGCAGCCUUCCCUCAGACCCUCAGAAGGAACCGCCCCGGUGAAGGCUCGACUUUGAGCUUCCGGUCUCAGAGGUUGAGCCGUACCUACCCACUGCUUUAAGCCACACUGUGGGUGGUACUUUGUGACUGCAGCCUUAGCAACGUGAUACAUAUUUUGAUACAAGGAAAUGGGUGGGGUGGGGACUGCUCUAACAACCACCUAUAAACAUGGAAAUGGCUUUGGAAUUGGGUAAUGGAGAGAAGCUGGAAGAAUUGAGAACCAUGGCAGAUAAAGCCCAGGUUAUCAAAAGACACUGUUGGUAAAACAUUAAUGGAGGUCCCCGUGAGCCCUGACCCAGAAAGAUUAGGCCUGCAGGGGAGGACACCUCAGCUAAGAGAGUGCACAGCCUCAGGGACACAGUGGUGCUAGACCAGAGGGCAGAUGGCUCUUCCUGGAAGGUCUGAAGUGGGAGGAGAUGAGGAGGCCACCAGAACCCCAGGACCCACCCAGAAAAUGGGCUAAAGAGUUACCAGCUUGAACAUGUCAUCCAUGAAGGAGCAAGAGGUGUGGCAGUGGGGUAGACCGCAGGGACCCGUGGUACAGUGUGAGGGAGCACGUGUCUCUGUGGCAGCACAGAGCCCACAGGGAGGCUGCAGGAGGGCCUUUUGUGGUAAAGUGUGAGUGAGUAGCCGUUCCUGUCAGCUUCCCUGCACUAGACACAUCUCAUGGUGGAGGCGUGUCUCCAUCUACCCUGAUGUGUAGAGACCCCUUGCGUCUUGGGCUGUGGACUGACUCCAGUAAGCUCUAACUCACCCGUGUGUAGACGUAGAGGUGCUCGUGCCGCUCUCCUUUUCCUGUGAGGGUACAUGAACAUUCAUCGGGUGUCCUUGAACUUCGUGCCCCAUCCUGACUGUGUGCCACCGUGUACCACCAUCUUGAUGUAUCUCGUGAAGAGAGCCGGCUGAUUUUUGGGGGUGUGCGCACUCCCCGGCCUCCCACUGGCCACGCUGACCUCAGGCUUCCCUCUGGUGCGGCCUUCCGUGGCGUGGGGCUCUGUGUUUCCAGCCUGCCGAGGCCAUCAUGCAGCUUUCUGUGCUCAUGUGCCAUCCGUAUCCCCCUGGGUGAAGAACCUGUGAUCAUUAGCCCAACUGUCACCUGCGUCUUUUUUCUUAGACUCCAGCUCUGUAGCUCUUAGUGAGUCCUGGGUACGACAUGUGAUGUGGAAAUACUUUGUGCAUGUCUCCUGGGAAUCAAAUAUUUUAAUAAAGCCCGUUUGUCAGUUUUUCUCAGUAGA